AAGACAAGGAAGCAUCACAUUUAGUCUGUCUUAAAUUCCAAAACAAAUCAUCUUUUUUUACCUACCCCAUUGAUUCAUCAAGUCUUAAUAUAUCCUUUGUGAAACAACCCGGGCAGUCAUUGACUAUUGUCCCUCUUCAGACUGUUACAAAAGUCAUUCUUUUACAAUAUAAGGAUGGGUUUGUGGCAUAUCCUUUACUGCAUACUGCUUAAUUGAGCUUCAAUUAGUGUAUAUAGUUUGUAACACUAGCUAUGUUUGUUUGUUUGUUUGUUUGUUUUAUACUGUAGAUGUAUUCAAUUGUUGUUUUCACGGAAAAAAAUGAGACAGAGGUUAUACCAAGUGACUGGCUGAGCAUCGAUAAAAAAAAUUUCCUUUUGGCCCCCAUAUAAUACUACUAAAUGUAGAAAAGCGGUUGAAAAAAAAUGAAACCCCUGAUGAAGAAUGGGAAGAAUAUAUAACUGAAUGGGUGGCUGAGUAUGAUUCCUAUGAAAAAGCCCGAAGGAAGCUCGUUAAGUUCUGCAAAGGCAAUGGUUUGGAGUCGACAGACGAGGACAGUGUGCGGAAAAGAGUACCAUCAUCGAAAUAUGUUGGAUUUAGGUCUACAUCAGCCCCUCCAUCUGCAGCCUCAGGAAGACCUCCAGUUCAGGCCUCAACAAGUAGGCUCCACACAGAGACAAUGGAAAGACCAAAAAAGAAAUUCUGCAAUAAUGGAGCCAAAAGCCAGACCUUGCCAGCCAUACCACCAUUUCCAUUUCCACCAUCAACACCAGAGACAGUCCCAGAUCUAAGACAAGAUGAAAGAGAACUCCGACUCUUUCAGAUGCUAGAGGAGAUAAAAGGCCAAGUUAGACAAAAUUCUCUUCUGCUUCAGGCAAUUUUGAGAAGAGAGAGUGCCACUGAAGUCAGCAGUUUUCCAGAUUUUGAGUUUCCGUUACAAACCUUCUUCUUCUUCUUCUUC